AUCAGUCACCACAGAGCCCUGGCUGGUGCAGGAUCCACUCUGGUUCAGAGAGAAGACUAGAUGAAGUCCUUUGUCACCUGGCCUUCCUCUUUCGGAAAAGUGAGGAGGCUAACCUGAGUAUUUGAAGAUGGAGAGAAGCCCUAAAUGAAUGAGGUAACGCACAGUUGCAGAAGACGUGGUGCACGAUCCUUUACGAAAGGUCCCUGGAUUUGCAGUGUUUGGCAGAGGAAGAGAUAUGGGGAAAUACUGAAACUCACUCUAAAGGGACGUGCGAAGCUGUGGCGCACAGGUUGACAGCUCUGUCACACUUUUCGAUGUGACAUCUUGAAGAAUGCAUUGGAGGAGGCUGAGAGUGGAGCAUGGCCAGAGCCCGCUGGAAUGGGGGGCAGCCCAGAAGAAGGGCCAGACUGGAGAUGGGGAACAGUGGACGGAGAGCAG